ACGCUCGACACCUACGGGGGCAGCAGUAGGGAAUCUUCCACAAUGGACGCAAGUCUGACGGAGCAACGCCGCGUGAGUGAAGAAGGUCUUCGGAUCGUAAAACUCUGUUGUUAGAGAAGAACACGAGUGAGAGUAACUGUUCAUUCGAUGACGGUAUCUAACCAGCAAGUCACGGCUAACUACGUGCCAGUAGCCGCGGUAAUCUGAGCGGGCUGGCAAGGC
rnacentral:rRNA from 1 species